rnacentral:rRNA from 1 species
AUUGAACGCUGGCGGCAGGCCUAACACAUGCAAGUCGAGCGGCAGCGGGAAAGUAGCUUGCUACUUUUGCCGGCGAGCGGCGGACGGGUGAGUAAUGCCUGGGAAAUUGCCCAGUCGAGGGGGAUAACAGUUGGAAACGACUGCUAAUACCGCAUACGCCCUACGGGGGAAAGCAGGGGACCUUCGGGCCUUGCGCGAUUGGAUAUGCCCAGGUGGGAUUAGCUAGUUGGUGAGGUAAUGGCUCACCAAGGCGACGAUCCCUAGCUGGUCUGAGAGGAUGAGCAGCCACGCUGGAACUGAGACACGGUCCAGACUCCUACGGGAGGCAGCAGUGGGGAAUAGUGCACAAUGGGGGAAACCCUGAUGCAGCCAUGCCGCGUGUGUGAAGAAGGCCUUCGGGUUGUAAAGCACUUUCAGCGAGGAGGAAAGGUUGAUGCCUAAUACGUAUCAACUGUGACGUUACUCGCAGAAGAAGCACCGGCUAACUCCGUGCCAGCAGCCGCCGUAACAC